UAUACGUUAAUUGAAAUUUGAAUGAUUUGAUGUACAUAACAUAUAUAUAUUUACAUACAUACAUAUGUAGCACCAAGUGCUCUAACGACAAUUCCUGCCUGGCCUCACCUGAUUCGUCAUAGCCACAAAUAUGGAGCAUAGAAACACAUAAGCGAUCCAGCCGAAGUUCUGUUGUAUUUCGUACGGUGUCUUUAU